ensembl:lncRNA
GUUUCUAUAACUGUGCAAGAUAGUUGCAUCGAUAGAGAGAUAGAGGAUGAGGAUUUAGAGGUAGAUAGAGAGAGAGAGACUGAAAGGGAGACCAGAGAGGAAGAGAGAGAGGCAGAUAGGGAGACAAAGAGGAGAGAGGGAGGCAGAUGCCUAGAAAGAUAGGGAGACAGGGAUACGGAGAAAGGAGAGGGAAGCAGAAAAGGAGACAGUGGAGAGGGGGAGUUAGAAAGACAGAGAGAAACUGACAGUGAGGGGAAAAAAAGAGUAGAGCGAGGGAGAUAGAGAGAGAGGGAAACUGACAGGAUUCCAAUGCGGAUCAGAUAUCCCCACAGGAGUGAAACGACUUGCACUGGAGCCAGUGAGCAGGGGCUUGUGGGAAAAGGAGUACACCCAAUCGUAGUACUUACUGACAGGCACAAUGUGUUCUAUCUACUGCAAGAGAGGCCCCCUCACUGUGGCCCACAAGCAGCACACUAUGAAAAGUUCAACUGACAGCCUGGAGUGAGCCAGCCAGCAGGAGGAAUACGAAACAAGGUAAACGUUAUCUUUAUCUCAAUGAGGUGAACAUUUAAUUGCUAACGUUUUAGCCCUGAUUCAUACAAAUAUUAAGUGUCUAAGACGGGUUUGAUCCUGUUUCCUUGCUUGCUAGGUUAGUCAAGUUAGAUAGCUAGCUAGAUAGUUAGCUUGGUUGGACUGUUUGACCAACACCGAUAUACUCUCAUAAAUGUGAGGCUGACACAAAGUUUGGUUAAUCCUCUCAAUAAGUGUACAUUUCUGAGGCGUCCCAGUAAAUGUAUUUUAAUAACUUGACUUUCAUUCUUGUCUAAAGGUACUGGGACAUAUCCAGCUUGGUAGUUAGCUAGCCACAUGCGAAGGAACAGAGCUGCUUGUGGGUGCGCCGUUGCUGUGACCUUCUCCCACUCUCGUUUACGGCAGAAUUAAGUGGGGAAAGUCUCGAAAUUCUAUCAAAACCUCGGUGACAAAACUCCCUAAAGGCAGCCUGAAAAGUAGCUGAAUUUUUACCAGUAAAAGCCGCUGGAGGGGUCUGAAGACUCGCUAAAUAUAGUGACAACGUUGCUAAAUUGGCAACACUGACGACAAUGUCGCCACCCCCCCUGGAGGAUGAGAACCUGCGCCAUUGACAAACUUCAAGCUAUACUGGGUUUGCAACAAAUCAUAUCCUAUCCAACCACAGUUCAUUCUUCUAUAUCUCAGGUACACAAUUGUCUGAGUUGGUUUCUCUGGACAGCAUAUCUGACUGGCUAAAAAUCUAAUAAAUAUAUUGUUUGAGAUGUUUUUAAGAAGGAUAUUUUGUGUGCACAAAAUGUGUUUCCUGUCAAAUUCCGUAUGGGGAACACUGUAGUAAAUGUGUACUCAUGACAUAGAUGCAGAAAGUAAACAGCAUAGUGGGUAAAUUUCCACAACAACUAAGAGAGUUGAAGCGCGAGGCUCAACUUCCCUGCUGUUUUGGUUCCCUGGCGUCCAUGCUGUGAACACUGUACACUGUCAAGAAAACUUGUGCACAUGGGCCGAUACUGUGUGUGACUCACUCAUCUCAAUAUCUGCAAUGCUGCUCAUGGCAACGUCAUUUCACUGAGUCUAACUUUACUUGAAUAAAUGGCUAUCGUUUUACAGUGGAAUAUAACACAAUGUGUAAUUCUUUUUUGACACACCCCUCCCACUGGGCAAAAACUGGUUGAAUCAACAUUGUUUCCACGUAAUUUCAACACACAAAAAAAAUCUAGCGAUGUUGUUGAAUCAACUGAAAACUGAUUGGAUCUGAUAAAAGUAAUCAACGUACAGGGCAUUUAGCAUUUUU